rnacentral:sRNA from 1 species
GAAGAAAAGCAAGAGCAGGUGCUGAAAACGAAAAGGAAACUAGCAGCAGUCCCAGCUACCACAAUGGAUCAGCCCCCAUUUGGCCAACAGGUGACUCUACCCCGGGUCGGCCUGAGAGGACCCAUCCCCCAUCUCACCAUUCUGCCCCAGCCCACCUGCCUCUACCACUUCUUCCCUGCAGCGUCUGCGGUUCCCCCACCGCUGUAAGCCAGGUUCCCCCUCCAGGCUGCUGGGCUGGGACUGAGUCACUUCUUCCCAGGCUGUAAAUCCUGGGACUGCUGUGCAAGGCAGAGUCACUAGGGACGGACUCAGGCAGCAGAGCUGCGCUCUCAUGCCCCAGCCAGCCAGGCUGUCCUGGGAUCUGGGCUGGAAGGGGCUGCCGAGACCAUCAGUCUAAUCUUUGGUCUACAGGUUGGGAAACUGAGGCUCAAGGAAGGUUCUGCGUCCUGCUUUGUGUAAGGAGAGAGCUGGGCAGUGAGGCCGAAGGUCCUUCCUGAGCUCACAGUCCAAGUCGCAAGGAAUCACAUCAUUUCCAAGUACCCAUGGCAGAAGAGGGAGCC